AAGUCGUAACAAGGUUUCCGUAGGUGAACCUGCGGAAGGAUCAUUACAUCGUUUUGUCGGGGGCCGGCUGGGUAUUGCGUAUCCACGCUCUAUCUGCCGGUUCUGUCUGCACAUUACCCCUGUUUUUUGCGUAUCUAUUGUUUCCUCGGCCGGCUUGCCUGCCAGUAGGACCCUUUUAAACUCUUUGCAUUAGCAGUCCGCGCGUCAAAAAAACAUCAAUCGUUAUAACUUUCAACAACGGAUCUCUUGGUUCUGGCAUCGAUGAAGAACGCAGCGAAAUGCGAUAAGUAGUGUGAAUUGCAGAAUUCAGUGAAUCAUCGAAUCUUUGAACGCACAUUGCGCCCCUUGGUAUUCCAUGGGGCAUGCCUGUUCGAGCGUCAUUUGUACCUUCAAGCUCUGCUUGGUGUUGGGUGUUUGUCCACGUUUGUGUGUGGACUCGCCUUGAAUGCAUUGGCAGCCGGCAAUCUGGUGUCGGAGCGCAGCACAAUUUGCGCUCUAUACUAUGACCGUUGGCGUCCAGUAAGCCUACACUUUAACGUUUGACCUCGGAUCAGGUAGGGAUACCCGCUGAACUUA
rnacentral:rRNA from 1 species